CUCAAGUCCACUUACACUCAGCCUCUUCCAGGCGGAAUUCCUCAUCUCCCACACAACCCUUUGCCGCUCUGGUAUCAGCUGGUGGCUUCUCCGUGGCCAUGCAGAGAAUAGAGACAGAACUUGAAACUGAUAUCACCCAGAUUCCAAGCAGCCCCAUCAGGACAGAGCCUCUUCUUGUUAGAUCAGUGCCUGCCAUGGAGGAGACACACAGUAUUUGAUGAAUGGUUGCAUGAAAGCCAAGAAUAAACAGUACCUGGAUAAUGAAAAUGAAAGCACCACUGCUCCACCCACAUCUUGAGGUCCUACCUUGGAAACUCUGAAGCAGCCUGGGGUUUGGAUGUGGAUCAGGGAGUCACAACCAUGCUGUAAAGCCAAACAGCUAACCUGUGACACUGCUGGGCACAGACUGAGGUAUGUCUCGUGGCUGUUACCGAUGCCAACUCUCAGGAUUCAUACAAAUGGAAGACAAGAAUAUCUUAGGUAAUCUACAAAUCCCCAGGUCUGAUUUAACUCACCUUUCUCCCUUACU
rnacentral:lncRNA from 1 species